ACACCUCAACUCUUCAUGGUUUUCCAUGAUGAGCUUGGACUUUGGGGGACUUGCUGGCCUACAUUCAGCUCCUCUAAAAUAAAUCAGCUUGCCAGUGUUUGGUGGGUAUCGCAGGUGUGAUAACUAUCUACGCUUGUGGUUUUCCACCAAGUAACCUUCAGCAGUGGAGGUUCACUGGAGCUCACAGACGCCCCUCCUCAGUGAGGGACAGCACUUUGAAU
rnacentral:misc_RNA from 1 species